GGGCGAUUAGCUCAGUUGGUAGAGCACCUCGCUUACACCGAGGCUGUCGGCGGUUCGAGCCCGUCAUCGCCCA
rnacentral:tRNA from 1 species